rnacentral:rRNA from 1 species
AUACGUAGGUGGCAAGCGUUGUCCGGAUUUACUGGGCGUAAAGGGAGCGUAGGUGGAUAUUUAAGUGGGAUGUGAAAUACUCGGGCUUAACCUGGGUGCUGCAUUCCAAACUGGAUAUCUAGAGUGCAGGAGAGGGAAGGGGAAUUCCUAGUGUAGCGGUGAAAUGCGUAGAGAUUAGGAAGAAUACCAGUGGCGAAGGCGCCUUUCUGGACUGUAACUGACACUGAGGCUCGAAAGCGUGGGGAGC